rnacentral:rRNA from 1 species
UAGUCCACGCCGUAAACGAUGUCUACUAGCCGUUGGGAGACUUGAUUUCUUAGUGGCGCAGCUAACGCGAUAAGUAGACCGCCUGGGGAGUACGGUCGCAAGAUUAAAACUCAAAUGAAUUGACGGGGGCCCGCACAAGCGGUGGAGCAUGUGGUUUAAUUCGAAGCAACGCGAAGAACCUUACCUACUCUUGACAUCCUGCGAACUUGGUAGAGAUACCUUGGUGCCUUCGGGANCGCAGUGACAGGUGCUGCAUGGCUGUCGUCAGCUCGUGUUGUGAAAUGUUGGGUUAAGUCCCGUAACGAGCGCAACCCUUGUCCUUAUUUGCCAGCACAUAAUGGUGGAACUCUAAGGAGACUGCCGGUGACAAACCGGGAGGAAGGUGGGGACGACGUCAAGUCAUCA